GUGUGUGCGUGUGCGUGUGUGCGCGCGCAUGCUCGCGCGUCGGUGCAGCUCGGAAGGUGAACUGCACCGAGGUGGAUCAACACCCCCUAGUGGUUCACAUGCAAUAACAGAGAACAAAAACACGCGACAUCAAAACUGGUUAUUAUUUUGUCCUAAAGCUUGAUUUGUUUUAACCUACGAGCUGAACAUCAUGAUCAUAAAUAGGACCGGAAAAGUUUUCAACAUCUUCCUAUCCCUUUUGACAUGGACUGUUUUAUUUCAGCUGUAUUAUCUAACCCUGUUUUUGUUGCUUAGUGUCCGGAGGAAACCAAUUGUUUGUUUCUAUUUUAUUUCUUCCAUUUUAUUGCUCAUUCUUUUUUUUGUAUUAUUUUUUAAUCAUGUCAUUGAAAACAAUUAAUUACGGGGAAAGAUUUCCUCCCCUUUUUCUGCUUGCCCCGCCCAGGGAAUAUGGCCUGGUCGGCGACCGCACAUGAGAAAAUGAGCUGAUGGUGCGUUCCGGAUGCAUCGGACACCAUCCGUCAUUUCCUGUCUUGCAUUCAAAACGGUCGGAGUUCCCGGGAGGUUCGGAGUCGGACAUUAAGCUCGAAGGAAAGUGCUUUGAACACUCUUCCGAACCUCGGAGCUGUUUUGAACGCGGCAAUGCUUUAACAAAAGAAGCACCACGGAAUAUUGGUAUCCGAGGCGUUUUGAACACACCAAAAGUUAUUUCCUGGAGAGAAAUCAUGGCUCGCAAAUGAGCGAAGGAGGACUCAGUGUUUGGAUGUACACAUGAGCACAAAAGUAUAUUUUUAGUUCCUUCAUCCGAGCCUCUAAAGAACCAGUUGUUUGAUUUUAUUUUCUCUGGAAAUGAUCCGCCAGUCUGCGCCAAACAUUUCACCGAAGACUGCUUCCUCAACUUGGGCCAAUACAGAACUGGACUUGCUCAACGUCUGAAAAUGGAUUCUAGAUCAGUACCAACUCUCCUCGGCUCAGCUACAAACCGCAGACAAAUCACCGUUCUGACUGAGCGUGCACCUCUGCAAACCAGGGGGAUCACACGAGAAUGGGCCCAAUUCAACAAAGGGGGCCAGCUCAUCAAGUGCUUCCAUUCAGCAGCUUCUCUCAAGGGAUGUUGCCUGCCAGACAGACCACCUGGAAACGCCUACUGUAGCCACACGGCUAUCCUCAAAGACUUUACAGUCCCACUUUAAAAGUGAAGAAGACUGCGAUGCAUUUGGAGACCGCAGCACGCAGCGCGGGGCCACCUCAGAUAGUCUAGGUGUGGAUGCCCCUGGCUCCUCCCACCUGGCCAGUCACAGGGAGGAGCUGAAGAUCGUGAUCGUCUACGGUAAAGGGGAGGGCCCACUGGCGGUGGACGGCCAUGACACCCUCUUCACCGCGUCAGAAGUGGAGGCCCUGAACUCGCUGUCUGCGGACCACAGCGCGGCCAAGAGCCUGGAGCGCGGCGAGCGGCUGGUCUGCUGCGAGGAGCUGAGUGUGCAG